rnacentral:rRNA from 1 species
GAUGAACGCUAGCUACAGGCUUAACACAUGCAAGUCGAGGGGAAACGACAUCGAAAGCUUGCUUUUGAUGGGCGUCGACCGGCGCACGGGUGAGUAACGCGUAUCCAACCUGCCCAUCACUUGGGAACAACCUUGCGAAAGUAAGACUAAUACCCAAUGACAUCCCACGAAGACAUCUGAAUGGGAUUAAAGAUUUAUCGGUGAUGGAUGGGGAUGCGUCUGAUUAGCUUGUUGGCGGGGUAACGGCCCACCAAGGCAACGAUCAGUAGGGGUUCUGAGAGGAAGGUCCCCCACAUUGGAACUGAGACACGGUCCAAACUCCUACGGGAGGCAGCAGUGAGGAAUAUUGGUCAAUGGGCGAGAGCCUGAACCAGCCAAGUAGCGUGCAGGAUGACGGCCCUAUGGGUUGUAAACUGCUUUUAUAAGGGAAUAAAGUGGGUCUCGUGAGACUUUUUGCAUGUACCUUAUGAAUAAGGACCGGCUAAUUCCGUG